rnacentral:rRNA from 1 species
GGGUUGUGAGGUUAAGCGACUAAGCGUACACGGUGGAUGCCCUGGCAGUCAGAGGCGAUGAAGGACGUGCUAAUCUGCGAUAAGCGUCGGUAAGGUGAUAUGAACCGUUAUAACCGGCGAUUUCCGAAUGGGGAAACCCAGUGUGUUUCGACACACUAUCAUUAACUGAAUCCAUAGGUUAAUGAGGCGAACCGGGGGAACUGAAACAUCUAAGUACCCCGAGGAAAAGAAAUCAACCGAGAUUCCCCCAGUAGCGGCGAGCGAACGGGGAGCAGCCCAGAGCCUGAAUCAGUGUGUGUGUUAGUGGAAGCGUCUGGAAAGGCGCGCGAUACAGGGUGACAGCCCCGUACACAAAAAUGCACAUGCUGUGAGCUCGAUGAGUAGGGCGGGACACGUGGUAUCCUGUCUGAAUAUGGGGGGACCAUCCUCCAAGGCUAAAUACUCCUGACUGACCGAUAGUGAACCAGUACCGUGAGGGAAAGGCGAAAAGAACCCCGGCGAGGGGAGUGAAAAAGAACCUGAAACCGUGUACGUACAAGCAGUGGGAGCACGCUUAGGCGUGUGACUGCGUACCUUUUGUAUAAUGGGUCAGCGACUUAUAUUCUGUAGCAAGGUUAACCGAAUAGGGGAGCCGAAGGGAAACCGAGUCUUAACUGGGCGUUAAGUUGCAGGGUAUAGACCCGAAACCCGGUGAUCUAGCCAUGGGCAGGUUGAAGGUUGGGUAACACUAACUGGAGGACCGAACCGACUAAUGUUGAAAAAUUAGCGGAUGACUUGUGGCUGGGGGUGAAAGGCCAAUCAAACCGGGAGAUAGCUGGUUCUCCCCGAAAGCUAUUUAGGUAGCGCCUCGUGAAUUCAUCUCCGGGGGUAGAGCACUGUUUCGGCAAGGGGGUCAUCCCGACUUACCAACCCGAUGCAAACUGCGAAUACCGGAGAAUGUUAUCACGGGAGACACACGGCGGGUGCUAACGUCCGUCGUGAAGAGGGAAACAACCCAGACCGCCAGCUAAGGUCCCAAAGUCAUGGUUAAGUGGGAAACGAUGUGGGAAGGCCCAGACAGCCAGGAUGUUGGCUUAGAAGCAGCCAUCAUUUAAAGAAAGCGUAAUAGCUCACUGGUCGAGUCGGCCUGCGCGGAAGAUGUAACGGGGCUAAACCAUGCACCGAAGCUGCGGCAGCGACGCUUAUGCGUUGUUGGGUAGGGGAGCGUUCUGUAAGCCUGCGAAGGUGUGCUGUGAGGCAUGCUGGAGGUAUCAGAAGUGCGAAUGCUGACAUAAGUAACGAUAAAGCGGGUGAAAAGCCCGCUCGCCGGAAGACCAAGGGUUCCUGUCCAACGUUAAUCGGGGCAGGGUGAGUCGACCCCUAAGGCGAGGCCGAAAGGCGUAGUCGAUGGGAAACAGGUUAAUAUUCCUGUACUUGGUGUUACUGCGAAGGGGGGACGGAGAAGGCUAUGUUGGCCGGGCGACGGUUGUCCCGGUUUAAGCGUGUAGGCUGGUUUUCCAGGCAAAUCCGGAAAAUCAAGGCUGAGGCGUGAUGACGAGGCACUACGGUGCUGAAGCAACAAAUGCCCUGCUUCCAGGAAAAGCCUCUAAGCAUCAGGUAACAUCAAAUCGUACCCCAAACCGACACAGGUGGUCAGGUAGAGAAUACCAAGGCGCUUGAGAGAACUCGGGUGAAGGAACUAGGCAAAAUGGUGCCGUAACUUCGGGAGAAGGCACGCUGAUAUGUAGGUGAAGUCCCUCGCGGAUGGAGCUGAAAUCAGUCGAAGAUACCAGCUGGCUGCAACUGUUUAUUAAAAACACAGCACUGUGCAAACACGAAAGUGGACGUAUACGGUGUGACGCCUGCCCGGUGCCGGAAGGUUAAUUGAUGGGGUCAGCGCAAGCGAAGCUCUUGAUCGAAGCCCCGGUAAACGGCGGCCGUAACUAUAACGGUCCUAAGGUAGCGAAAUUCCUUGUCGGGUAAGUUCCGACCUGCACGAAUGGCGUAAUGAUGGCCAGGCUGUCUCCACCCGAGACUCAGUGAAAUUGAACUCGCUGUGAAGAUGCAGUGUACCCGCGGCAAGACGGAAAGACCCCGUGAACCUUUACUAUAGCUUGACACUGAACAUUGAGCCUUGAUGUGUAGGAUAGGUGGGAGGCUUUGAAGUGUGG